GCGUGGUGGCGGGUGGGCUUGGAGUGGCGGCGGAUGUCUUGGUUCUUUGUAGUCUCCCCUCCACGGGCUCCUCAGACCCCCCACUACAAAACAGAACACACGCGGUGAGGGGAGGCGGGCCGGGCCAGGCCGCCUUUGCUGAGCAGAAGAGGCUGGAAGUGGCCUGUGAGGGAGGAUGCCUGUGGCCCCCGGGGCACCGCUCAGGAGGGAGGGGCCUACCUGUGAGCAAAGACUUCCCCAGGCCGUCGGGUUGAAGGCACACAGCAUGGCCGAAGUCGCAGAGGGCUGCGCGGCUCCCAUCGCUGGACAGGAGCACGUUGUCGGCUGCCAGGCCGCCCCAGGGAAGAAGGGGAACAGCUCCAUACAAAGGGACGAUUCGGGGUGAUGUCAAUCCCGCACACGCCAUCAACUCCUCUGCCCGAAAGACGUCGACUCGAACCUGGAAGAGCCCAGAGGCGGCUGGGAGUCAGGGGGAGGGACUUGGAGCUCCCUGCACAGAGAAUGAAGUUCCCAGUGACGGUUCCGAGGCCAGGCAGGUACCCGGGAGGCCUACUGGACCUGCAGAGACUAAACUGUGUGUCUUGGGGGUUGCGGUCAAUGCCUGGUACUUGAUUAAAGUUUUGCAGCGCUGA